CAUGCUUUUUUUCAGUGCAGGGAAAUGGUUGCGCCCCUUCCUCCAAAUCUCGCGGGGGAUAAAUAAGGUGCUCUCGCUAUCCAGACCUCCGCCACUGUCCCCUACCCCACCCCCACUCGGGCGCUGGGUGUGGACAGGGCGGAGGAAGGCUAUAUGGGAGCUUAAGGCAUGAGGUCAUGGGCGGAGGAGGCUGCUGCCAAAGCGGCCGAGGUUUUUGUGUAUUUUGAGGGGUAACGGUUCUCCAUCUUCAGCAGCGCAUGUUUUCAAGGUUCAUCCAUGCUGUAGCAUGUGUCAGGACCUCAUUCCUUUUUAUGGCUGGAUAAUAUUCCAUUGUAUGGAUGUAUGACAUUUUCCGUUCAUCAGUUGGUGGACAUUUGGGUUGCUUCCACCUUUUGGCUGUUCCUCAGAGUGCUUACGGAUAGAUCCAGCCUGAAAUAGAAAAUGGAACGAAGUCAAUGAAGAAAAACCACACAGUAAACCUCUGGAUGGUAACAAUUUCAUGUCAGAAAGCACCCCUACCUCAUUUUUUUCAAUUCAGCCUGUUGCUCUAAUAAUUUGAAGCAUGAUUGUACAGUUGUGUAGGAAAAUAUUUACUUGGUAGAUCAACUCUGACAUUGUGUGACUGAGCCUGCAUAUAGAAGAAACGUUGUGCCUUUCCUUUGGAGGCACGAGGUGGCAAGAUGGCGGUGCAAAUUCCCAAGAAGGGAAAGCUUGUUGCUGAUGGCAUUUUCAAAGGUGAACUGAAUGUUUCUCACUCAGGAGCUGGCUAAAGAUGGCUACUCUGGAGGUGAGGUCCAGCUUACACCAACCAGGACAGAACUCAUUAUCUUGGCCACCAGGACAUAGAAUUUUCUUGGUGGGAAGGGCCGUGGGUCUGUGAAUUGAUCACUGUGGUUCAGAAGAAAUUUGACUUCCCUGAGGGCAGUGUAGAGCUUUAUGCUGAACAGGUGGCCACAAGGGCUCUGUGUGCCAUUGCCCAGGCAGAGUCUCUGUGUUGCAGAGUCUCUGUGUUACAGUCUCCCAGGGGAGCUUGCUGUGCGGAAGGCCUGCUAUGGUGCGCUGAGACUCAUCACGGAGAACGGGGCCAAGGGCUGCCAAGUCAUGUGUCUGGAAAACUCUGAAGACAGACAGUUCAAUCCAAGAAGUUUGUGGAUGGCCUGAUGACCCACAGUGGAGACCCUGUUAAUCACUGUGUCGACUCUACCAUGUGCCAUAUGCUGCUCAGACAGGGUGUGUUGGGCAUCAAAAUGGAGAUCAUGCUGCCCUGGGCCCCAAGUGGAGUAGAUGCCUCCAGGCAUUUUUAACACAGAGAAAAAUAUUAAUGAUCAAACAUAAAGAAGUGAAGAGAUGCUCCUUCAGGGCAAGUAUGGUUUUGAACAGAGAAACUAGAAGACAGAUAAUCCACAGAGAACUGUCCCAUCUUAAGGACAAAAGUGGAGAACCCACGUGGAGGUGUGUCCAGUCCAGAGGAGUCUUUCUUUGCAAACUCAUAGAUGCACUUUGGGGAUGUGGUCAUCAGUGCAGAAAUCAUGUAGAAGAAGAAACUGACAGACUUUUCUCCCAUACUUGACUUGUCGUAAACCCACAGUGAAAUUAAUUUUGGUUUCUAUUUAUGUGUCUUGUGGCUGCAGCCUGCGACGAUAUGAACCACUCUUAUGCUGAAUGUGUACUUGUGCCUGAGUGAAGUUUCUAUAUGAAUUCAAUAAUUGUUCAGUUCUUCACUUCGCUUCGUCAACAGUGUUCACUGCACACCUGCUGUGCUCUGUAACGGAGGUACUCGGGGGAUGUGCAGAGACACUUGCAUCCUCCCUGGCCCUCUGGCUGAGCUCUGGCAGAUGCCAAGCUGGUUUAUCACCCAAGGCUGGGCCCAUGUGUCCCUUCUAGGGCCACUCAGCCCAGGAAUUUUUUCCUUCCAAAUUUCUUUCCAACUGUACAUUUAGUUCUUUGUAAAUGUUUCCUGAAUACCUGUCUUAUUACUAAAUAUUUUUCCAGUGUAUAUUCUCUCUUACACAUGAAAUCAUAAACCUCUUAAAGGUGAAUACAUAUUCAUAUUACUUCUUAGCAUCUUACUUCUUAGCAUCGCCAUCCCAAUCACAGAGCCUAACACGAUUUGAUAUGUGUUUAUUUUACUUUAAAGCAUAAUUUGUCUUUAUUAUAUAAUUACACUUGUUCAUAAUGAAAAUGUUCAUUAUGUAAAUUUAGAUAAUCUAGACAAGCAAAAAGAAGACUUUUAAGUUGCCCAAAGUUCUACCGUUCAAGAAUAAGUAUUGUUAACAUCGUGCAUGGGGUAUACACCAAACAGGAUAUAUAUUUACCCCAAGGAAGCUAAAAUUUUAAUGGAAUGAAUUGAAAUAUACACAACCACAAACAAGAAGGGGUGAGAUGAUGGAGUUAGGUUUCUUGAGAAGCCAGGAAGAUGAUGUGGUUUCUUGUGGCCCAGGGCAGGCAGCAUAAGUGUGCUUGUAGAGACUUGGCGAAGCGGGCCAUCCAGAAAAUAGUUCUCCCAUCAGCUCUUGGCGUCAUUAUCACAGGAAUAAAGACUGUCCUUCCACAGCAGCAUUGAAUGACAGGCAGAAGUGUGGUUCCCAAACCAGCAACAUCAGUGUCACCUGGGAACUUUUCAGAACUGCAUCUUCUCAGGUCCCAUCCUAGAUCCACUGAAUCAGAAACACUGGGGGUGGCCCAACAGGCUGUUUUAAGAAGCCGUCCAAGCGAUGCUGAUGCACAAUAAAGUCUGAGAAGCACUGUCUAAAAACUGGGAUUGUAUCUUGUUCAUUGUUGAGUUCUCUGUCUCAGCACCUGCUGCCUAGAAGAAUUUGUUAAAUCAAGAAGACAAGCACCAGGGCCAGUCCCAUGGCCUAGUGGUUGAAUUUGGUGCAGUCUGUUUCAGUGGCCUGGGUUCACAUGUUCACAUCCCGGGCAUGGACCUACACCACUCGUCAGCCAUGCUAUGGCGGUGACCCACAUACAAAAUAGAGGAAGACCGGCACAGAUGUUGGCUCAGGGCUAAUCUUCCUCAGGGAAAAAGAGGAAGAUUGGCCACAGAUGUUAGCUCAAGGUGAAUCUUCCUCACACACACACAAAGAAUACAAAUACCCCUGAGAGAUGCAUCGAUUUUUUAAAUUAUUUUUAUUAUGGUAUAUUGCUCAUAGAAAUAUGUAAAAGAUAAAUGAACCCCUAGUAUAUCCAGCCCUCUCUAUAGUUUGCCACGUUUCCUUCAGAUAUUUUUUUAAGAGAACAAAAACAUUGCAGAUACAACUGAGAACUUUCUGUGCAUCCUCUUCCUGAGCUCAUUCUCCUUUCUCCUUU
ensembl:lncRNA